GGGUUGUGAGGUUAAGCGACUAAGCGUACACGGUGGAUGCCCUGGCAGUCAGAGGCGAUGAAGGACGUGCUAAUCUGCGAUAAGCGUCGGUAAGGUGAUAUGAACCGUUAUAACCGGCGAUUUCCGAAUGGGGAAACCCAGUGUGAUUCGUCACACUAUCAUUAACUGAAUCCAUAGGUUAAUGAGGCGAACCGGGGGAACUGAAACAUCUAAGUACCCCGAGGAAAAGAAAUCAACCGAGAUUCCCCCAGUAGCGGCGAGCGAACGGGGAGCAGCCCAGAGCCUGAAUCAGUGUGUGUGUUAGUGGAAGCGUCUGGAAAGGCGCGCGAUACAGGGUGACAGCCCCGUACACAAAAAUGCACAUACUGUGAGCUCGAUGAGUAGGGCGGGACACGUGGUAUCCUGUCUGAAUAUGGGGGGACCAUCCUCCAAGGCUAAAUACUCCUGACUGACCGAUAGUGAACCAGUACCGUGAGGGAAAGGCGAAAAGAACCCCGGCGAGGGGAGUGAAAAAGAACCUGAAACCGUGUACGUACAAGCAGUGGGAGCACGCUUAGGCGUGUGACUGCGUACCUUUUGUAUAAUGGGUCAGCGACUUAUAUUCUGUAGCAAGGUUAACCGAAUAGGGGAGCCGAAGGGAAACCGAGUCUUAACUGGGCGUUAAGUUGCAGGGUAUAGACCCGAAACCCGGUGAUCUAGCCAUGGGCAGGUUGAAGGUUGGGUAACACUAACUGGAGGACCGAACCGACUAAUGUUGAAAAAUUAGCGGAUGACUUGUGGCUGGGGGUGAAAGGCCAAUCAAACCGGGAGAUAGCUGGUUCUCCCCGAAAGCUAUUUAGGUAGCGCCUCGUGAAUUCAUCUCCGGGGGUAGAGCACUGUUUCGGCAAGGGGGUCAUCCCGACUUACCAACCCGAUGCAAACUGCGAAUACCGGAGAAUGUUAUCACGGGAGACACACGGCGGGUGCUAACGUCCGUCGUGAAGAGGGAAACAACCCAGACCGCCAGCUAAGGUCCCAAAGUCAUGGUUAAGUGGGAAACGAUGUGGGAAGGCCCAGACAGCCAGGAUGUUGGCUUAGAAGCAGCCAUCAUUUAAAGAAAGCGUAAUAGCUCACUGGUCGAGUCGGCCUGCGCGGAAGAUGUAACGGGGCUAAACCAUGCACCGAAGCUGCGGCAGCGACGCUUAUGCGUUGUUGGGUAGGGGAGCGUUCUGUAAGCCUGUGAAGGUGUACUGUGAGGUAUGCUGGAGGUAUCAGAAGUGCGAAUGCUGACAUAAGUAACGAUAAAGCGGGUGAAAAGCCCGCUCGCCGGAAGACCAAGGGUUCCUGUCCAACGUUAAUCGGGGCAGGGUGAGUCGACCCCUAAGGCGAGGCCGAAAGGCGUAGUCGAUGGGAAACAGGUUAAUAUUCCUGUACUUGGUGUUACUGCGAAGGGGGGACGGAGAAGGCUAUGUUGGCCGGGCGACGGUUGUCCCGGUUUAAGCGUGUAGGCUGGUUUUCCAGGCAAAUCCGGAAAAUCAAGGCUGAGGCGUGAUGACGAGGCACUACGGUGCUGAAGCAACAAAUGCCCUGCUUCCAGGAAAAGCCUCUAAGCAUCAGGUAACAUCAAAUCGUACCCCAAACCGACACAGGUGGUCAGGUAGAGAAUACCAAGGCGCUUGAGAGAACUCGGGUGAAGGAACUAGGCAAAAUGGUGCCGUAACUUCGGGAGAAGGCACGCUGAUAUGUAGGUGAAGUCCCUCGCGGAUGGAGCUGAAAUCAGUCGAAGAUACCAGCUGGCUGCAACUGUUUAUUAAAAACACAGCACUGUGCAAACACGAAAGUGGACGUAUACGGUGUGACGCCUGCCCGGUGCCGGAAGGUUAAUUGAUGGGGUUAGCGCAAGCGAAGCUCUUGAUCGAAGCCCCGGUAAACGGCGGCCGUAACUAUAACGGUCCUAAGGUAGCGAAAUUCCUUGUCGGGUAAGUUCCGACCUGCACGAAUGGCGUAAUGAUGGCCAGGCUGUCUCCACCCGAGACUCAGUGAAAUUGAACUCGCUGUGAAGAUGCAGUGUACCCGCGGCAAGACGGAAAGACCCCGUGAACCUUUACUAUAGCUUGACACUGAACAUUGAGCCUUGAUGUGUAGGAUAGGUGGGAGGCUUUGAAGUGUGGACGCCAGUCUGCAUGGAGCCGACCUUGAAAUACCACCCUUUAAUGUUUGAUGUUCUAACGUGGACCCGUAAUCCGGGUUGCGGACAGUGUCUGGUGGGUAGUUUGACUGGGGCGGUCUCCUCCUAAAGAGUAACGGAGGAGCACGAAGGUUGGCUAAUCCUGGUCGGACAUCAGGAGGUUAGUGCAAUGGCAUAAGCCAGCUUGACUGCGAGCGUGACGGCGCGAGCAGGUGCGAAAGCAGGUCAUAGUGAUCCGGUGGUUCUGAAUGGAAGGGCCAUCGCUCAACGGAUAAAAGGUACUCCGGGGAUAACAGGCUGAUACCGCCCAAGAGUUCAUAUCGACGGCGGUGUUUGGCACCUCGAUGUCGGCUCAUCACAUCCUGGGGCUGAAGUAGGUCCCAAGGGUAUGGCUGUUCGCCAUUUAAAGUGGUACGCGAGCUGGGUUUAGAACGUCGUGAGACAGUUCGGUCCCUA
rnacentral:rRNA from 1 species